rnacentral:RNase_MRP_RNA from 3 species
UCCAUGGCUGAAGAUUUGCUUGCAAGGUCUACGAACGGUCAGUAAUCUGACAGUAAUACCUUGGGGAAAGUCUCCUGCCUUUAUGCGGAAACGCAAUGGAUAAUAGACUCCAUUUGGAUUUCAUGCAAAAGUUGUGGUGGUAUAUUGCCAUGAUGUUUGGCUUCAGUUGUUCCUCUGAACUCUGGAGCCAAUUCACAUCCUGGGGCCAACGAUAUGUCACUAACUGCUUUUGGGUGGCGUUCAAUAUUCCCAGCUGGAUUCCAGUUGGUGAUCACUUCGGCAACGGGAAUAUGUUUCCUAAACGAUAGUUAUAGCAAAUGAUUUUGUUAAAACUUGAUUAACACAAUGGAGCUUACUUCAAUCCAUGG